rnacentral:rRNA from 1 species
AAGGAGAAGUCGUAACAAGGUUUCCGUAGGUGUACUUGCGGAAGGAUCAUUGUUACACCUCGGCUUACCUCUGGUUCAGAGGAAGACGACGAAGGUGGCUCGGGGUAAAAGAACCCACGGCGCCAAAGGCGUCAAGGAACACUGUGCCUUACCCGGGGUGUGGCUGGCUUGCUAGCCGUGCCCCGUGUUGCAAUGCUAUAUAAUCCACACGACUCUCGGCAACGGAUAUCUCGGCUCUCGCAUCGAUGAAGAACGUAGCGAAAUGCGAUACCUGGUGUGAAUUGCAGAAUCCCGCGAACCAUCGAGUCUUUGAACGCAAGUUGCGCCUGAGGCCACUUGGCCGAGGGCACGCCUGCUUGGGCGUCACGUCAAACACGCUCCCACCACUCAUCGGGAAGUGGGACGCGGCAUGUGGCCCCCCGUUUCGCAAGGUACGGUGGGCCUAAGAUGUGGCUGCCGGCCUAUCGUGCCGGACACAGCGCGUGGUGGGCGAUCUCGCUUUACUUACCGCAGUGCAUACGGACCGUAGCCGAUGUUAUGGCCUUAAGGACCCAAAGAACGGAGCACUUGAUGCUUCGACCGCGACCCCAAGUCAGGCGGGACUACCCGCUGAG